rnacentral:rRNA from 1 species
GAUGAACGCUGGCGGCGUGCUUAACACAUGCAAGUCGAACGAAGCACCUUGAUUUGAUUCUUCGGAUGAAGAUCUUGGUGACUGAGUGGCGGACGGGUGAGUAACGCGUGGGUAACCUGCCUCAUACAGGGGGAUAACAGUUAGAAAUGACUGCUAAUACCGCAUAAGACCACAGCACCGCAUGGUGCAGGGGUAAAAACUCCGGUGGUAUGAGAUGGACCCGCGUCUGAUUAGCUAGUUGGUGAGGUAACGGCCCACCAAGGCGACGAUCAGGAGCCGGCUUGAGAGAGUGAACGGCCACAUUGGGACUGAGACACGGCCCAAACUCCUACGGGAGGCAGCAGUGGGGAAUAUUGCACAAUGGGGGAAACCCUGAUCCAGCAACGUCGCGUGAAGGAAGAAGUAUUUCGGUAUGUAAGCUUCUAUCAGCAGGAAAGAAAAUGACGGUACCUGACUAAGAAGCCCCGGCUAACUACGUGCCAGCCGCCGCUGUAACAC